rnacentral:rRNA from 1 species
ACGGAUGAGUGACUCAUAUAUUAACAUGCCUGGUGUAAUGGGAUAACUAUUGGAAACGAUAUUAUAAUACCGCAUAAUUUCUCUGAUGAAUGACAUUUGCUACCUUCGGGCCUUUGCUUCUUCACCCGAUGGACCUCCGAUUAAUUAGCUGGUGGGGGGGGGGACGGCUCACGCGAGCAUCGAUACCGGGCCUAACAGGAAGAUCGAUCGGCCUGGCUGUGACAGAGACCCCGCACUCACUCCUAAGGCAGGCAUGGGGAAUUUUUCUUCAUGGAUGCACGACUGAUUCACCCAUGCCCCCCGCCUGAGUAAAGACUUCUUUCUGAUCAGGACUUUCGGCUGGAAAAAAAAAGACAGGGUUAAAACCCAUGGCUGAUGACGGGACCUGAUCAUAACACACCGGGAAAGUUCAUGCCAUGCCCCCCGCCACUACAUAAGGUGCGACCCGAACGCUGAAUUGAUGUAUUGGGCGCAAACCCAGACCGUUACGUUAGAUAGAUGUGAAAUCCCCGGCUGUGGCUUAACCACUGCGUUCUUUGCUGACUGACUAACUUGUGUGCGAGAGGGGAGAGUGGAAUUCCAUGUGUAUGAAAUGCAUGCAGAUAUAUAGGAAUGAACAUGGCUGGCGAAAGCUCCUCUCUGGAUUGUGACUGACACGCACGCUCGCAAGCGUGGCAAGCAAGCUUGAAU